rnacentral:rRNA from 1 species
GAGGAGCCCGCGGCGGAUUAGCUAGUUGGCAGGGUAACGGCCUACCAAGGCGACGAUCCGUAGCCGGCCUGAGAGGGCGGUCGGCCACACUGGCACUGACACACGGGCCAGACUCCUACGGGAGGCAGCAGUCGGGAAUUUUGGGCAAUGGGCGAAAGCCUGACCCAGCAACGCCGCGUGAAGGAUGAAGCUUUUCGGAGUGUAAACUUCAUAAGAAUGGGACGAAUAAGAGAGGGCUAACACCCCUUUUGAUGACGGUACCAUUUGUAAGCUCCGGCUAACUCCGUGCCAGCAGCCGCGGUAAUACGGGGGGAGCAAGCGUUGUUCGGAUUUACUGGGCGUAAAGGGCGCGUAGGCGGCGCAACAAGUCACUUGUGAAAUCUCCGGGCUUAACCCGGAGCGGCCAAGUGAUACUGUCGUGCUAGAGUGCGGAAGGGGCUACUGGAAUUCUCGGUGUAGCGGUGAAAUGCGUAGAUAUCGAGAGGAACACCUGCGGCGAAGGCGGGUAGCUGGGCCGACACUGACGCUGAGGCGCGAAAGCCAGGGGAGCGAACGGGAUUAGAUACCCCGGUAGCCCUGGCCUUAAACGAUGGAUGCUUGGUGU